ensembl:snoRNA
AGGACAGCAGUGGGGGAAGGGGGUGGCCCUCGGCAGGGGGAGCGCACGCAGGAGGCCUGGUGGACCCACCUGCUCCUCUCUCUCCCCCCGUCUCCCUCCCUUUAUCACACACAUGCUCACUCACUCACUGAAAGAUCUUUCUU